GGCUGGCGCUGCCCUUUUUCUUCCCUCGGCCCCACCCCUCCGCGGCUCUGCGUCUUCCUGCUCCUCUGCCCCGCGCCCCGCGUAACCCGCCGCCGCCGGGACCCGGCCGAGUGCCCGCAGGGUCUGACCGAGGAGGCCUGGGGAGGUGGGGGACCCCACCUGGCCUCUGGGAGACCCGCGCGCGGAGGGAUCAGAGCACUCUGGCGGCCCGCAGUCCUGCCCAGCCCUCCUCUGUAUUGGGCUAGCACAGGGUGGCGCCACGCAGUGUUAACCAGUUGUCCGCACACGUCCUACAUUUCGUAGGGAGUUAUCACGUUCCCAGCUCUUGAGGAAUUAGAAUGCGAGUAUAUGGCAAGGAUGAGCCAGCACUUCCUUCCAGAGACUACACAGUGUUCCAGAGAGCUGAGCACAGGAGCCUGGCUUUGUACACAGAAAAUGACUGAAGAAAGCAAAAUCGAAAAGUAGAUUGGUCACUUCCAUUUCUUUCCUUGUGGGGUCGGGACAGAAUAAUAGAAAAAUAACUGAUUGGUUAACAUCAAGUUACUUCAGAAGCAAAAACAGUGGCAGGCACAGGAUAUUUGCUGAACACCAAUGCCUGUUGAAUGAAUGAAUGCCAAAUGAGAGGAUGAGCUAGACAGUCUCCCAAACCUGCUUUCAUCAUUAAGC
ensembl:lncRNA